UACGUAGGGCGCAAGCGUUAUCCGGAAUUAUUGGGCGUAAAGAGCUCGUAGGCGGUUUGUCGCGUCUGCCGUGAAAGUCCGGGGCUCAACUCCGGAUCUGCGGUGGGUACGGGCAGACUAGAGUGAUGUAGGGGAGACUGGAAUUCCUGGUGUAGCGGUGAAAUGCGCAGAUAUCGGGAGGAACACCAGUAGCGAAGGCGGCACUCUGGGCCGUGACUGACGCUGAGGAGCGAAAGCGUGGGUAGCAAACAGG
rnacentral:rRNA from 1 species